CCUGUGUAUGAUAGCAGUGGCGUAUCCAAGUUAAAAAUUUAAGAUAUCUCCAAUCUUGAUUAAGGUCAGAGAACACAAUAAAUAAAGAAAACACUCAAAAGAGAACUUUAGAGAAGAAAAGAGCAAGCCGAGCUAGUCCGAUAUACCGUAUACGUCCAAAUUUUCGAGGGUUCAAAAUUUCGUGUUUUCAA